ACGAAAGGAAGGAAAGGAAAUCAGAAGACGAAGAGGAAGAGGUGGCGAAAGAGAACAAUAAAGUUACGUUCCAGUGUUCUAGGCUGGAGACAAGGGGUCUUCCGUGUGGAACAUUACAACACAUGUACAUGGAUACAUAUGGGUAUGUUGUCUGGCGAUGCUGAUAUAUUUGCAUGGAGAAGUGUGCAUGGUUCUAGACUUUUUUUUAUGGCGUAAUCCGGAUAUCGGCACCUCUCACGUUGUGGCUUACAUGUGACCAGCCAAGUGCUGUGCCCCUACUAGUGCAUCCACAAACGACAAAACCAAACAUGUGGGAAGGUUGCUGCCACUGCUCCACGUUCCAUGUGCUCGCAAUUGUCUUGCGUGUAUGAUUAAACCAACGACGACACCCACCAGAGCGGAAGUGUUUUGCGCACACACGUUUCAGCAUGAAGCCUGCAGGUGGACGUAAAUUGUAGAAGGCAGCUAGUGGGGGAAAAUAUCAUGGUCAUAGGUCAUGUGGCUCCUGGUACAUGCCCCUGUGGAGUAACCUUUUCAGAACACACACAUACAGUUUGCUCACAGAACCAAUGAGUAGGAUGUUGCUCGAAUACCGAGAGAAAAUGGCAUGACAGAUACAAAGAUCGUAUGACAUAGUAUGGGAAUAAAAACAUU